UAUUUAUUCAGACUAUCAUCUGUGAGACGGCAAGUACCAUCUAUAAGAUCCAAAGUACAGUUUGCAUAGUGACUUUCUAAAAGCAUAGCUCUUCACUUAUUCCAGAAGAUAACAAGAAGCUGUGUUUGGGUGGUUUGAUCAAUUAAAUGAGAGGCAAGAGAGAAUAUUUGUGUUUAAAAUUGCUUUUUAAUCUGGCUAUCCUAGGCCUAGGAGCUGUACCAGCUUCUCAGUGUCUCAAAAGACUGACCUAUUUCUUGGAAAAAAAAAUUAUGUACUUUGUAAAUACAUGAAACUCAUCUAAGUAUUCAUAUUAAGAUGAGUGGCUUUCUGUGCAAAAGUCUUUCUUAUCCAGGAAAAAAAAAUGCAUUUGCAAGUAAAAUAUAAAAGCAAUGCA